rnacentral:rRNA from 1 species
UACAGAGGUCCCAAGCGUUGUUCGGAUUCAUUGGGCGUAAAGGGUGUGUAGGUGGCGCCGUAAGUCGGGUGUGAAAUCUCGGGGCUUAACUCCGAAACUGCAUUCGAUACUGGCGUGCUUGAGGACUGGAGAGGAGACUGGAAUUCAUGGUGUAGCAGUGAAAUGCGUAGAGAUCAUGAGGAAGACCAGUGGCGAAGGCGGGUCUCUGGACAGUUCCUGACACUGAGACACGAAGGCCAGGGGAGCAAACGGG